AGUCGUAACAAGGUUUCCGUAGGUGAACCUGCGGAAGGAUCAUUGUCGUGACCCUUAAACAAAACAGACCGUGAACAUGUCUCUCAUGUCGUCGAGCUUUGGCUCGGCACAAGGUCCCCUUGCUCCAACCUGGGGCAGAGGGGCCACAAAAGAACCCACGGCGCCUUAGGCGUCAAGGAACACUCAUGUUGCCUUGCACAGCGGAGUGGUCGGCAUGCCUUCCGCUCCCUGAGCAGCGAUGAUAUCUUAAUCCACACGACUCUCGGCAACGGAUAUCUCGGCUCUC
rnacentral:misc_RNA from 1 species